AGAUUGAACGCUGGCGGCAGGCCUAACACAUGCAAGUCGAGCGGUAGAGAGGUGCUUGCAUCUCUUGAGAGCGGCGGACGGGUGAGUAAUGCCUAGGAAUCUGCCUGGUGGUGGGGGAUAACGUUCGGAAACGGACGCUAAUACCGCAUACGUCCUACGGGAGAAAGCGGGGGACCUUCGGGGCCUCGCGCCAUUAGAUGAGCCUAGGUCGGAUUAGGCUAGUUGGUGAGGUAAUGGCUCACCAAAGGCGACGAUCCGUAACUGGUCUGAGAGGAUGAUCAGUCACACUGGAACUGAGACACGGUCCAGACUCCUACGGG
rnacentral:rRNA from 1 species